AUGAACGCUGGCGGCGUUCCUAAUACAUGCAAGUCGAGCGAACGGACGAGAAGCUUGCUUUUCUGAUGUUAGCGGCGGACGGGUGAGUAACACGUGGAUAACCUACCUAUAAGACUGGGAUAACUUCGGGAAACCGGAGCUAAUACCGGAUAAUAUUUUGAACCGCAUGGUUCAUAAGUGAAAGACGGUCUUGCUGUCACUUAUAGAUGGAUCCGCGCUGCAUUAGCUAGUUGGUAAGGUAACGGCUUACCAAGGCAACGAUGCAUAGCCGACCUGAGAGGGUGAUCGGCCACACUGGAACUGAGACACGGUCCAGACUCCUACGGGAGGCAGCAGUAGGGAAUCUUCCGCAAUGGGCGAAAGCCUGACGGAGCAACGCCGCGUGAGUGAUGAAGGUCUUCGGAUCGUAAAACUCUGUUAUUAGGGAAGAACAUAUGUGUAAGUAACUGUGCACAUCUUGACGGUACCCAAUCAGAAAGCCACGGCUAACUACGUG
rnacentral:rRNA from 1 species